CCUACGGGGCGCAGCAGUGAGGAAUAUUGGUCAAUGGGCGAGAGCCUGAACCAGCCAAGUCGCGUGAGGGAGUACUGCCCUAUGGGUUGUAAACCUCUUUUGUCGGGGAGCAAAAGCCGGACGUGUCCGGCUGUGAGAGUACCCGAAGAAAAAGCAACGGCUAACUCCGUGCCAGCAGCCGCGGUAAUACGGAGGAUGCGAGCGUUAUCCGGAGUUAAUGGGGUUAAAGGGGGCGCAGGCGGAUUUUUAAGUCAGCGGUCAAAUCGUGGGGCUCAACCCCAUCCAGCCGUUGAAACUGGGGAUCUAGCGUGUGCGAGAGGUAUGCGGAAUGCGUGGUGUAGCGGUGAAAUGCAU
rnacentral:rRNA from 1 species